GAGAACAACUUAAAUCAGCUGUUGCUGGAGGAUCUUAGAUAUGGUUCACUUGAUGGAUCACCACUGGAACUGAAUGUUCUACUCUUAGGCAUUUUUUAGAAAUGACUCCAGUGUCCUCUGUCCUGAAGAGCACUGAUUUCAUCACUCCAAGGCCAAAUAAGGCACAUUUACUUUUUAAAUGCUUAUCCUUCUGUUCCCUGUAGGAAUAUUUCAAUCAAAGGUUUUUCUGGCUCUGAUAUGAAACAAUUUAUUCCUUGACGGCAAAGAGUAUAUUCAAGAGUCAUUUGUAUUUAGAAGACUUAAUACAAAAAUGACACAACAAAGUUUUGUGUUCAUACCAGUUCUGAUAGAGGAAAACGAUUAAAUAAAUUCCUAGUACAAGCGAUUUUCAUUCAGUUGAGGCUCCGGAGAAGUAGGAGCUGCUUGCCAUGUAUGAACUAAUCUAUAACUAGAAGCCUGAGGAGAAUCAACUCAAUGCCUCCAGUGACUGCUCUUUCUGCGUCAGGUGGCAACACUGUCACUAAAUUAGAAGGAAGAAGCUCCAAGAAAUCCAGCUGAAACCCUGGAGUGCAUGUCAUCAGGCCAUGUAGACUUGUACACAUUCCACCAUUCAUGAGGUGGUCUUGAACUUACUCUUUGCUUGCAGUAUGAAGGAUUUUGCUCCCCCACUCAUAACCUAGAGGUUCGAGGACAAAAGAGAUAUCCCACUCACCAACCAGGAAGAUCAAAGAGAAUACAACCUGUAUUCCUGAUCCCUUCAACAUCUUCCCAAGGAAUAUAAAGACUCUUCUAAUAUUCUUCAAUAUCUUUGUUGAAGUCUUCUAUGACUCAACUUGAAAGAAGAGGAGUGGAGGGUAGUCCUUGGGUUUUAUAACUGAAAACAAAUAGAUAAAUAAUUAAGAAAGAAAGAAAUUAAAGAGCCAGUAGAUGGAUGAUUAAUCUGAUAGACGAUUAAUGAAAAAAACUAUCAUCUACCCUUUUUUUUACCCAAUACUCCAGUACUUGCAUGCAUUAUUUUAAUAUUAUUUUUUACACACAAAUCUGGGGUAAUGAAGAGAUAUAUGUUGAAAUCCAUUUGACACUUUUAAUGCACCUGAAGAGCAGUUUGUUUACAGUGGGGAGAAAUAAGCUGAUAUAUCAGAACUAGUGUUUACUAGUUUGGUCAAGGUGAAACUAUUCAGAAGUAUAUGAGAAAAUAUUGCAGUGGUAAUGAAAGGAGAGACUGAAAGAUGGAUAAUGUAACAUAAACUUUAAUUCAAAAAUAUAACUCUGAAUUACUUUCAAGGUUUUGAAGCUGCAAAUCUAGGUUCUUAUUCUCAGUAUAUUUAGGAAGAUUUUAAUACAUUCAUCAUCUCAGAAGUGUACAACAGCUACAGACUGUUGGAUUCUCAUGUCCAGAAUUUUCUCAGUGUUAAUAGGUUGGUGCCCUUGCCUAGUCAGCUGUGCUGCACUUAUAUGUGUAUGUGCACAUCUAUGUUUAACUUUUCUGUACGUGGUUUGGUUAAAAAAUAACUGCAGCAGAAUGACUGAAAAAAGCAUUUAAAUUUACAAGUCCAAACAAAAGAAUAAAAGAUGGAUAUUAACUGCUACAGGAAUGAUAUAUGCAUUCUUACAAAACUGUACUUUAUUACUGAUAUGGCUUUGCAUAGGGCAUUAAAUAGAACUUUAUAGAAAUGAGAAAUGCAAGUACUUAAAAAGUAAAUUAAAAAACCUAAAGAGAUUUCUGAUUCAUCACACUAUGUCCUGUUGUGUUUUUUCACUGUUGACAAGCAAGCUGAUAACACAUUUUCUUUUCUGUUUUUCUGUUUUUUUUUUUCUUUACCCAUGUCAAAUAAAAAUAAAAUGGUUCUUCAGAUUUUCGAAAAAAAAAUACUGUAAUUACAGCAGAGGAAAACAUCAUGUUCUUUCAGCUUUCAAUAUUUUUUGAAAUGAUUAUCAUUCCAAAAUGUUGUUUUUUUAUGUGUUUAAUAUUUAUUUUCUGUAACAAAGGGCAUACUUUAUCAGGGACUAAUGGAAAUGACACUAAAGAUUAUAAAAAGAAAAUCAGAUUAUUUUCUCAGUAUCUGCAUGUUGUAUUGGAAGUAUUAAUCAUUGAGCAAUACAGAAAAUUUAGCAAAAUUUCUGGCAUGAAAGGCUACAAAUGGCAAUUACCACUGAUAAUCUCUAUAAAGCUUUAUUACCAGUAUAUAUAUGUGAGCAUACAAAAAGAUCACAAGAAGGAAACUCAAUGCACAGCAGAGAGAGAAGACCAGAUGUCAGUUUUAAUCACAUUAAAACUUAUGCAGCCUUCAGAAAUGGUAGUAAUCUCAAUUUCCCUUCUUGCAAAAAGUUCCACUGGAUAGCAUUUUUAUGAGAGUUACUUUCAAUUAUAGCUUUAGAUAGAAAUUCUGGGUGUUAUAAUUUGCCUUUUUGACACAUCUGCUCAAUUAUGAGUUCUUUGUUUGUACUUGAUCUCUGCUCUCUAGGUAAUAGUUUGUUCUGGUAAAUCCUACUGAUAAUACAUGAACAACAAAUUAAGUCCUGGAUGUAGUAAGUACUACCUUUUUUUUUUUUUUUUUUUUUUUUUUUUCUUCCUUUUUUUUCUUUCUUAAUCAAUAGAUUCUUACAUAAAUAUUAUGGUUUUAUGAAUUUGGUUAUUGGUACUCCACAUCAUAACAUCAUGUAGUGCACUAGGAGUUAAUUCCUUGUUUAAAAAGAAAAUAAACAACAAGAAUUCUAAAAGA